rnacentral:pre_miRNA from 1 species
CUUGUACUCCCUCCGUCCGAAAAUACUUGUCAUUGAAAUGGAUGUAUCUAGAUGUAUUUUAAUUCUAGACACAUCCAUUUUGAUGACAAGUAAUUCUGGACGGAGGGAGUACUUG